AGCACAGGACGUGUGGAUUGAUGGAAACCUGAAACUGCCAUUGAGCAGAAGGAAAACAUCCCUUUCCAGAACCUUUCUCGUUUUUCUAAAAAUCUGCACUUUUGGAAGUGAUCCCCCAAAGAGACCUCCAGACUCUACCAUGAGUGUCUCCAGCUGAACUCAUCGUGUCUAAUCCUCACCCUAGCUUAUCCUGUUCAAAUCAUUUCCAUCUUUUUCUGGAUGAACCUGGGCGGAUGUCAGACCAGAGAAGAGCACAGAAUGUACCAGAGAGAGUCUUGCUCUGUCACCCAGGCUGAAGUGCACCCAGGCUGAAGUUGGAGGCUAUGGUGAGCUGCACCACUACACCACUAUGGGAGGCCGAGGCGAGUGGAUUGCCUGAGCUCAGGAGUUCGAGACCAGCCUGGGCAACGUUGUGAAACCCCGUCUCUACUAAAACACAAAAAAUUAGCCAGGCCUGGCGGCAUGUGCCUAUAGUCCCAGCUACUCAGGAGGCUGAGGCAGGAGAAUUGCUUGAACCCGGGAGCUGGAGGUUGCAGUGAGCCGAGAUUGCGCCACUGCACUCCAGCCUCGGUGACAGAGUGAGACUCCGUCUCAAAAAAAAACAAUAUAAGGUGAAGGCCAAGCAGGGUGGCACAUACCUGUUGUCUCACCUACUCAAAAGGCUGAGGCCAGAGGAGGAUUGCUGGAAGUGAGUUCAAAGCCAGCCUAGAGAAUAUAUUGAGACUCUGUCUCUAAAUUUUAUAUAUAUAUGGUGAAUUCACCUUUACCAUAUCUUUUAUGUAUAAGCAAUGGGAUUGAUUAGCAAGUAAUGGGACUCUGAAAUCAAAGGGGUAAAUUUGGGUAGAUCUUUAUAAAUAUAAUAACCUUGAACCCCACAAAUCUCUCUAAGCGUCCUUUAAAAAAUAGACUUUCUGUCUGAGUAGGUGAGUCCUUUUUUUUGUUUGAAGAUACUAGAAAGCUCUUACUUGAGACAGCUCCUAAAAGAAUGUCAAUUCAACAGAAGUCUCAUAGCCAGUAUAACUAAUUCUAACCCCCUAACUAGAGUCAGAUACUAGGAUACCCCUAAGGGACAACAAUGAAAUCUGAAUUUGGGUGUCAUUGCUUACAUAUCAAAACAGUUGCAAGAGACAGUUAAUUUAUAUUUGCAGAAACCAUAUGAAUUUGUAUGAAAAUGAUUUUUUAAAGUGCUAUAUCAAGAAAACUAGAACAUAAUGCAGAACAAAUAAAAUUUACUUAUAUGGGUGCCAAGAAUAGAAAUUCUGGGUUCCGCAUACAUCAGCAUCUAGAAGAAUCUGCAGUAGGUAUGGAUGGUUGAUUGAGGCCUUUAUUCAAUGGUAGUCUACAAAGAAUAAGACAGAAGUAAGAACUUUCCUGUUAAAAUGGAAAGAUAGAGUAAACAAGUUUAGGAAUAUCUCAUAAGCCACUGAUUCCAUUCUUAGGUCUAUAUCCAAGGGAAAUUCUUGCACAUGCACACAAGGAAACAUGGAAGAGAAUGUCCAUAUAUGUACUGUUCACAGUAACAAAAAUUUGCUGAGGAGGAAGGAACUAAAACUCCAACAAUAGGAGAGCGGAUAGAAAGGAACAUAUUAUAUUCACAGAACGGAAUAUUUUACAAAAAUCAGAAUAAACUACAACAUUACUCAAAAUCAUGGCUGCAUUAUAGCAACAUAAUAUUCAGAGAAAAAGUUUAAAAGACUACAUAGAACUGUCAAUUGAGGAAAAUGACAAGAUAAGUCUCAAUCAUUUUAGGAGGUUUAUUUGCCAAAGUUAAGGACAUGCCUGGGAGACAGGUCUAUGCCUUUCUCUGAUGAUGAUUUUGAGGGCUCCAAAUUUAAAGGGGAAAGGGCAGGAUAUUGAGAAGCGCACAGUUUUCACAUAAACCAAAGGGGCAGAGGAAAAAUAUGGGGAAUCUGCAUUUUACAUAAGAUAACAGACAAAAUGGGGUAGAGGGAACAAUCAGAUAUGCAUUUGUGUCUGGCGAGCAGGGUGACUGCACAUGUAAAGAUAAGCUAUCAAUUUGCAUUGCCAUGGUGAAGUUUUAACAGCUCACCAGGAAUUUCCCUGUGGGCAAAAUAUGGGAGAGGCAUGUAGCUUUUCAUCUUGUAGCCAUCUUAUUUAGGAAUCAAAAGCGGGAGGCAGGUUUGUGUGACCCAGUUCCCAGCUUAACUUUUCCCUUUGGCUAAAUGAGUUUGGGGUCCCAAAGUUUAAUUUCCCUUCACAGAACACAGUUUUAUUUUAUAAAAUUAACAAAAACACACAAUAUGUAGAUACAUAUUGAUAAAAAUAAAACUAUGUAAAAAGGUAAACAACAGAAUAUUCAAUUUAGUAAUAAAAUAACCAACUGUGGAUGGUUAUCUUGAAUUGAAGGGUUGGAAAUAAGGGAUACAGGAAAAUCACACACAAUAAACUAAAUUGGAAGAUGGGCCUAAUGCUAACACCAAAAAUGGACCUCUUGACGGCAGAAUUGCAUUUAUCUAUCCAGCCUCAGGAAGAGUUACACAACCUCAAGUUUCCUCAAGUGAGGCUGUGUGUCUAUGAAAUGUGGGGCAUGGAGAAGCAAGCAUAGCACAGUUUUCCAGGAGGCGCUGGCUUAAUAAAAGAGGGUGGAAUGUGAGGGGCCAAACUUUUCAUGUGUAGAUCCCCUCUCAAACUCUACAACCAGAUAAUUCAUUAGUUUAGUGGUGAGAACUAAAAGAUGAGACAUGAAACUAAAGUUAUUCAGGUAUAAUUGUACCUUAUAGAAACUGGACAAGGGGGAUGCCACUUUUCCCACUUAUACAAUCAUUCAGUGUAUUGAACUACCCUGUGAAAAGAUAAGUACAAUUGCAUUAAUAGAUUAAGUAAACUACAACAAGGUAUGGGGUCACACACCUGUAGUCCCAGCUACUCAGGAGGCUGAGACAGGAGGAUUGGUUGAGCUCAGGAGUUAAAGGCUGUAAUGAGUUAUAAUCAUGCCACUGCACUCCAGUAUGCGUGACAGAGUAAUACUUCAUCUCUUGAAAAAUAAAGAGAGAAAAGAGAGAAAGAAAUUAUAGCUUCAAACUCUAUGCUAUUUUGAAGACAUAAAGUAAAAUGAUAAAAAGAGUUGAAAAUAAAGGAGUGGACAAAGAUACAUCUGAAUCUAAUCAAUUUUUUGAACUUUUAUUUUAGGUUCAGGGGUACAUUGGGUAUAUUUUAGGUUCAGGUGGGUGGAGGGAUGUCCUUUAGUUCUGUCCUUUGUCCAGUACCCAUGAAGAUAAGCUGUUAAUUUACAUUGUUAGGGUGAAAUUCAACAGAACUAUUUUAGGGUACAGAUAUCAAGGUCCACAAGAAAUUUCCUUGUGAGCAAACUGAAGAUGGUAUAUAGCCUUUUGUCUUUGUAGCUCUCUAUUUAGAGGAAAAAAUAAGAGGCCAUUUUAUGUGACUUGGGUCCAAGCUUGACUUUUCCCUUCAACUUAGGGAAUUUGGGGUCCUAGUAUUUUUAUU
rnacentral:lncRNA from 1 species